AACCGACACAGGUAGUCAAGAUGAGAAUUCUAAGGUGAGCGAGCGAACUCUCGUUAAGGAACUCGGCAAAAUGACCCCGUAACUUCGGGAGAAGGGGUGCUCUUUAGGGUUUACGCCCAGAAGAGCCGCAGUGAAUAGGCCCAAGCGACUGUUUAUCAAAAACACAGGUCUCUGCUAAACCGUAAGGUGAUGUAUAGGGGCUGACGCCUGCCCGGUGCUGGAA
rnacentral:rRNA from 1 species